rnacentral:rRNA from 1 species
GACGAACGCUGGCGGCGCGCCUAACACAUGCAAGUCGAACGGAGUCAAGAGGAGCUUGCUUUUCUUGACUUAGUGGCGAACGGGUGAGUAACGCGUGAGUAACCUGCCCUGGAGUGGGGGACAACAGUUGGAAACGACUGCUAAUACCGCAUAAGCCCACGGAUCCGCAUGGAUCUGCGGGAAAAGGAUUUAUUCGCUUCAGGAUGGACUCGCGUCCAAUUAGCUAGUUGGUGAGGUAACGGCCCACCAAGGCGACGAUUGGUAGCCGGACUGAGAGGUUGAACGGCAACAUUGGGACUGAGACACGGCCCAGACUCCUACGGGAAGCAGCAGUGGGGGAUAUUGCACAAUGGGGGAAACCCUGAUGCAGCGACGCCGCGUGGAGGAAGAAGGUUUUCGGAUUGUAAACUCCUGUCGUUAGGGACGAUAAUGACGGUACCUAACAAGAAAGCACCGGCUAACUACGUG